AUGGACUUGCGUGACGCUGUCGACUGGUUGUCCGCCAUGAAGGCGCUGUUCACCUCCCCUGCGUGGAAGGACAGACAAGAAAAAAAUGAAGAAGAAUUAACAGCACUGUUGCCAGAUAUUGGUAGCCUCCCAAGAUGCUGAGUACGCUUACCUCGCCUCCUGCACACAUCCGCCCAUCCGACGCGAUCUUUGCCAGCUGGCAACCGAUGUCUCAGCCGAGCAGGACCACCGCGAGAUAACCACUUUCAGUUUCUCUCGAAAACUCGCUGGAGAAUUCUUCGCAUCUUCGUUCCAAGUGACGUCUCGCGCGUUUUUUGAUUUUCUUUUCCUUCCGUCCCGGGACACGUUACGUACGUGGGUGCCUGCAGUGGCACGCUGAGAUAGGACAUUCUAAAGCACGUUUAUUUUUUUUUCCUUCACAAGCGUGCGUGGGCUCCCGGAAUACGGCAACGGUAUUACAAAGUGCACUUUUGGAAAGACGUGAGAAUUGAGUUUAUUCUAAUAUCGAUAUGUUGUAAACAGAUCUCGUCGCUUUCCUCCUUGGCAGCGUCGUCUCUCGGGAACAGGCACGGCGAUGGGACACCAGCGAUUAGAUUGAUGAGAUGCAGGAAAAAGAUGGAACGAAAAUUCUUUCGCAGAUGCUGACACGGCCAGCUGUGUACUCUUCGCUGAGUGCACAAUAAGGAAAA
rnacentral:lncRNA from 1 species